UACGGGGGGGGUAAGCGUUGUUCGGAAUUACUGGGCGUAAAGGGCUCGUAGGCGGCCAACUAAGUCAUACGUGAAAUCCCUCAGCUUAACUGGGGAACUGCGUGUGAUACUGGAUGGCUUGGAUUUGGGAGAGGGAUGCGGAAUUCCUGGUGUAGCGGUGAAAUGCGCAGAUAUCAGGAGGAACACCGAUGGCGAAGGCAGCUCGCUGGGACGGUACUGACGCUGAGGCGCGAAAGCGUGGGGAGCAAACAGG
rnacentral:rRNA from 1 species